CGGCGGACGGGUGAGUAAUGCCUAGGGAUCUGCCUGGUAGUGGGGGACAACGUUUCGAAAGGAACGCUAAUACCGCAUACGUCCUACGGGAGAAAGCAGGGGACCUUCGGGCCUUGCGCUAUCAGAUGAGCCUAGGUCGGAUUAGCUAGUUGGUGAGGUAAUGGCUCACCAAGGCGACGAUCCGUAACUGGUCUGAGAGGAUGAUCAGUCACACUGGAACUGAGACACGGUCCAGACUCCUACGGGAGGCAGCAGGU
rnacentral:rRNA from 1 species